CUGUGAACAUACCUUAAUGUUGCCUCGGCGGAUCAGCCCGCGCCCCGUAAAACGGGACGGCCCGCCAGAGGACCCAAACUCUAAUGUUUCUUAUUGUAACUUCUGAGUAAAACAAACAAAUAAAUCAAAACUUUCAACAACGGAUCUCUUGGUUCUGGCAUCGAUGAAGAACGCAGCAAAAUGCGAUAAGUAAUGUGAAUUGCAGAAUUCAGUGAAUCAUCGAAUCUUUGAACGCACAUUGCGCCCGCUGGUAUUCCGGCGGGCAUGCCUGUUCGAGCGUCAUUUCAACCCUCAAGCCCCCGGGUUUGGUGUUGGGGAUCGGCUCUGCCCUUCUGGGCGGCGCCGCCCCCGAAAUACAUUGGCGGUCUCGCUGCAGCCUCCAUUGCGUAGUAGCUAACACCUCGCAACUGGAACGCGGCGCGGCCAUGCCGUAAAACCCCAACUUCUGAAUGUUGACCUCGGAUCAGGUAGGAAUACCCGCUGAACUUAAGCAUAUCAAUAAGCCGGAGG
rnacentral:rRNA from 1 species